UUGUAGAAGAAAAAAAAGAAAACCCGAACGAGGCACUGAAGAUGUUAGGCUUUCAAAAUGAGGCACACCAGCGUACUCAUCUGCCAACACUGCUGCCUGGGCCAAUGUCGCCACUUUCUGUUCAUUUCAAUGAACUACUACUCUCAGGCAGGUUGCUUUUAAAAUCUUCCAACAGCAUCAACUUCCGAAUAUCAAAGGUGUUAGCGUAACGGGCCGAACACCAGCGAUUGAACAGACUUUUUGCCCCUAGCAAACUCAACAAAAGUACGGUGAGAGGGUUUGUGGUUCCUGAAGCGCUGCCUUUAAGCUUCAGGCACCAACUCAUAAGCCCGCAACACGGUUGUUUUAAAUAUAUCGUAUAGUGUAAACUUGUCUUCCAGGGAGAAAGCAGCUAUUACUUCCUGGGCUUUUCCAGACAAUUUAGAUUGCAACAGGAGCGGCCAAACCUUGAGGCCACAUGCUCAAACGCAGAGAAAUAAGGAUCAACUUCCGAAAUGGAAGGACUAAUGCAAUAUUUUCACUCACUUCAAAGUAGGCUUGAUGAUGGGUAGGUUGUGGAGUUGUCUGAUCCUCACCUCCUUGUCGGCUUAUAUGGCCAUUUUCCUCAUUUCUAAAUCAAACUCCAGCUGGAUAAACACACUCUUUAUAUUUUAGCUCCAUUUCCAAACAGGCCAGCACCACCUUUAGCCUAGAGGUCCCAUCUGAACAACCCGAGGCAGAGGAUAAAGUGUUGAUUCGGGCAAUGUAGAGGGGGUACGAGCAACCCCUUCCUCCACCUUGGCAUCGGAAGGUCUAUCCGCCUCCCUCAUAUUUCAACAAGAAAAUUCAUUUUCUCACUAAACCCUCCCUGACUAGCACCAACAGCUCAGCCUUUAGGGCUUCCUCAGGGACGAAGAGUCCAUAAUGGUCAGCUAUGGCGCAAAGGUCUACUUUGCGAAACCCCACCAACCGAUCAACUGAGGGAGCUGGUUGAGGCAGUCGUGGUACACAGCAGCCUAGUGAACACAUGUAAAUUAAGUCACCCAAACCCACAACCAAACCUCAGUCUCCAAUCACAGAGAUCAGAGCAGUGGGGUCCUGUGGAUUUAAUAAUCCCAGAUGAGCCCCCCAUUAUGUUACGUACACCCCCUGGGCGGAAGGAACGCAACACCCUGCUACAACUCAACUCCCCGUGGAGUGAAAAAGGUAUGUGAUCGUAGGUGCAGGGGAAGGACAACAGAGACAGAAAAAAAUGACCAUUUACAGUAAAUGUAUUAUUCCUAACACAGAAAUGUGGGGAAAAGGGGCUGGACAGAACCAAAGAAAAUAAAGUAAAAGUUAAAUAGUCCCCUCUCCUACCUACCCACUACUUACCUAAUCUUUUAGCACCUCCUGGCGAGCUAACCAAAAUACAGGGGGUGGUCCACCCAGGUCUUGCCUAGUGUGCAGACAGUAAAUACUACAGCUUAUGUAUGCCCGCAGGCCUCUUGCCUAAACACUCCAAAGGUGCAUCCCCCCCCCCCAGGAACAAAUAAAACAGAAUAAUUACUAACUGAAAGUGAACAAUUUCAAUAAUCAAAAACACUAAGCCCUAUUGACAUACAAGAGUAGCAGCUACAAAAUACUUCAACAAAACUUUCACGGACUAACAACCAACACAGGACAUCAAAGAAGCUCUCUCCUCCUGACCAAGGAUCACUGGCUUUUAUCCAGCUGUAGAAGGACAGUUGUUUCCCCUGACGAGAGGGAGGGUUCAGAGCGCCAAUCAUCGAUGGGGCCGACCAAUCAGCUGCUUGAAGAAUACAAGAUUCCAUUUCCUGAAAUACACACACACAUACAUACAAACCCACAAACAACACAGAAACUGGGGAACGUAACAUAGUUUUCUUAUGUCUUACCAGUCACCAUGAGCUUGCAUGUUCCUUAAAAAACAGUAGGCUUUGUUGUAAAGGGUGUGGAUGUUUUUCUUUUGUAAAUUACUGAUGACUCAUUUUAACCACACUUAAUUCUCUAAUCUCUUUCUCCUUUAAUAUACCAGAGAGCUGAGUUGCUAUGGGAACAAGAACUGUAUGUUCCAUUUUGUUACUCUGCAUCUGCCCCUACUGCCACACCUUCCCUGCAAAUGACUGCCAGGUGAGCCUGAACUUUGCAGCUGAGGCAGAGAGGUUCUGUGCAGCCUUGGAGAGACAGAUCCAACAAGCCCCAGAUUUGGAAAGCAACACACACACACACGUCACAUCACAUUUACGAUAUAAUUAGUUCUCUCAGCUUCAGGCAGGCCAGUCCUCUUCUCUUUCUCCCCUCGUCUCCUCUUCCCCAAUCUCGCUGUCUCACGUCACUCUUUCUCAUUUUCUCCCCAUAACACUUUAUUUUACUCUUUAUCUCUUGCUGUCUCUCUUCCUCUCCCUCUCUUUCUCAAACAAAGCUAGUGGGCAGACUCAGCUGAACCGUACUGACAGUGUGGACUCUGCCUCAGGCUGUUUGUGUGAACAGGAACAGAGCAGAUCUGGGAUCAGCACUCCAUCUCCAGAUGUGUCAGAACGAGAACAUCAGCACACUGGAGCUCAGAAAGACCCAGAUAAUUCAUUAUUAGAUACAUUUUAUGAUUCUGCAUUAGAAUGGAAGAAAAUAUAAAUGGCUUGUCUGACUGAUUUAAUCUUGUCUCUUAUCCAGACAGUAGUCCCAGGUGGGAGUGGGCCCAGAGCAAGGCCUCAGUUCUAGUGAGCUGGACCCUGCUCAGAGGAAGCUGCUCAGGAAGGCGGGGCUAAACGAGGUGGAUAUGAAGGACAGACACACCCUCCUCCUAGAGGGGCACACCCUGAGAUGAUCAGAAAGAGCUUUCGAUCAGUGAGAGAAUAUGACUGUGGCAAGUCAAUGACAGUUGUGGACAAUUUCCAAUACAUGUCUGUGACGCAGUGGUGACCUGUCAUUCAGGGCAGAGCCCCACCUGUUAAGCUUUUCGUUGCCUGUUUUUCAUGUUAUUUUGGCAUUAAUACAUGUCACACAUGUUUGCAAACAAUGUAAAAUAAUCAUUGAGUUAAUAAAGCU